GUUGGGCGUGGUGGCGUGUGCCUGUAGUCCCAGCUACUUGGGAGGCUAAGGCAGAAGAAUCACUUGAACCUGGGAGGCAUGGGUUGCAGUGAGCUGAGCUGGCACCACUGCACUCCAGCCUGGGUGACAGAGUGAGACUCAGUCUCAA
ensembl:misc_RNA Metazoa_SRP Metazoan signal recognition particle RNA